AACGAACGCUGGCGGCAUGCCUAACACAUGCAAGUCGAACGGGAUCCGAGCUUCGGUUCGGUGAGAGUGGCGAACGGGUGAGUAACGCGUGGGAACCUGCCCAGAGGUACGGAAUAACAGUUGGAAACGACUGCUAAUACCGUAUGAGCCCGAGAGGGGAAAGAUUUAUCGCCUUUGGAGGGGCCCGCGUCAGAUUAGGUAGUUGGUGGGGUAAUGGCCUACCAAGCCUUCGAUCUGUAGCUGGUCUUAGAGGAUGAUCAGCCACACUGG
rnacentral:rRNA from 1 species